rnacentral:piRNA from 1 species
UGAUGUUCAGUUUUGCCUCAGGCCAAAGA